GACGAACGCUGGCGGCGUGCCUAAUACAUGCAAGUUGAGCGCUGAAGGUUGGUACUUGUACCGACUGGAUGAGCAGCGAACGGGUGAGUAACGCGUGGGGAAUCUGCCUUUGAGCGGGGGACAACAUUUGGAAACGAAUGCUAAUACCGCAUAAAAACUUUAAACACAAGUUUUAAGUUUGAAAGAUGCAAUUGCAUCACUCAAAGAUGAUCCCGCGUUGUAUUAGCUAGUUGGUGAGGUAAAGGCUCACCAAGGCGAUGAUACAUAGCCGACCUGAGAGGGUGAUCGGCCACAUUGGGACUGAGACACGGCCCAAACGCCUACGGGAGGCAGCAGUAGGGAAUCUUCGGCAAUGGAGGAAAGUCUGACCGAGCAACGCCGCGUGAGUGAAGAAGGUUUUCGGAUCGUAAAACUCUGUUGGUAGAGAAGAACGUUGGUGAGAGUGGAAAGCUCAUCAAGUGACGGUAACUACCCAGAAAGGGACGGCUAACUACGUG
rnacentral:rRNA from 1 species